GGACUGUAACUUACACUCCCACAAGCCACUUGCAGUACACAUGUGACCCACGCUUCGUUUCACAUUCAGCACAUAUGCAUUGGAUUAUUUCGUAAGAGAAAUCUUAGUGGUAAGCGACAGUACCGAGCUGUACUGACUACUACGGAAGAUGGGAUUUAUCAUUUUCAUCAUUGCUGUCCUAUUGACAUUUGCCUUACCCAGCUCUGAAUAUGAGUGUGACAAGUCCGCCACGUUGUGUGAGACCACGCUGGUGAUCCAGCAUAGGCUAACCAUGAUGCACCCUACCGAACAACAAGUCUACCCAGCCAAUGGUAAACUCUACAAAUAUGACGACCUAACACAAACUACAGAAAUAUCAGCGGAUAAAGUGAUGACUGCUGAUGGUUGGGAGGAUAACAGACUGGUUGUUGUAGCAAACGAAAGUCUCCCAGGCCCUCCAAUUAUAGUGUAUGAGGGACAAAGACUUAAAGUUCACGUCAUCAACAAAAUGACGUCGGAUACUGUGACUGUACACUGGCACGGUAUUCCUCAAAGACGAAGCCCUUGGAUGGAUGGUGUUCCUUUUGUGACACAAUGCCCAAUCUUGUCUGGACAGACGUUCACAUAUGACUUCAUUGCUGAACCUAAAGGAACGUACUGGUACCAUUCCCAUGUCGGUGAUCAGCGAGCAAAAGGGAUGAAUGGUGCAUUCAUCAUUAGAGAGAGAACAUCAACAAUCAGGGAACAGAUUAUGACGGUACAAGACUGGAACCAUAACUGGGGAGCCGAUAUGGAUCAUCAGAAAUUGCUGCUUGGAACUUUUGUGAAUCGUGUACCAGAACCACUGAGGCAAUCUGUAGACGGGGGUCUUUUUGACCCAUUCUAUGUAACUUCCGUUCUUAUCAAUGGUAGAAGCCGUUACUACAACAAGUCCGGUCAACAUAAUGGUGCUCCUUUGUCAGUUUUCCCUGUGGAAAAAGGAAUGGACUACAGGUUUAGGGUUAUCAACGUCGGAGCUCUAUAUCCCAUUAGAAUAUCAAUUGACAAUCAUGCCAUUACUCUUGUCGCUUCAGACGGAUACGAUUUCCAACCAGUAGAGGUAGAAUCUUUCAUCAUCAACCCAGGUGAAAGAUACGAUUUUAUCAUCAAUGCCAAUCAAGUCAUUGGAAACUACUGGAUAAGAGCUGAAACCCUAGAAGUAAGUGCACAUAAAUCUGAGGCUGUGCUCCGCUACAAUGGUGCAGAUGUGUCUCAAUACCCUUUAACGACUAGGAAAAUAUGCACUCCUGUUGAGAGAUGUUUAGUUGUCAACUGUCCUUUCACAACCUUCCCUGCUGACUAUUAUACCGACUGUCUACGUUUUGAUCAUCUUCGGUCAGCUGUCAACAACGACCCUGCGCCCAAACCGACAUCUAUGGACACAUUCAAAGAACACUAUUUAAACUUUGCUCUUCCUGAUGAAGUUGCGUCAGUUAAUGGAAGAGAGUUUAUGGAUCCCACAGUGUCUGCACUAACACAGCCAUUAGAGAUAACGUCCAUAUGUGACAAUGUAGACUGCGGGGAGGAAAAAACAUGCAAAUGUACACAUUCACUUCCCACUACCCAUAACGAUGUAGUGCAACUUGUACUGAUGAAUAUGGGGGUAGGAACAGGUGACGCCCAUCCAGUUCACCUCCAUGGUUAUUCAUUUUACGUGCUGAAAAUGGGAUAUGCUACUUAUAAUAUGACUACCUCAAAGUUCAUAUCUCAAAACAAUGACAUCGAUUGUCGCGGAAGUGGGGACAUGACAACAAGUUUAUGUAACGACGCUUCAUGGAGAAAUUCUAGUUGGCUUGGAAAUAACGUCCCUGGAUUGAAUCUUAUCGAUCCUCCGCGGAAGGAUACACUGAUUAUACCUAGCGGUGGCUACGCUGUUAUCAGGAUCAAGGCUGAUAACCCAGGUGUAUGGCUAUUUCAUUGUCACAUCCAAGUGCACGGAAUCUUCGGAAUGAGAAUGGUCAUCAAUAGCUCAUACAGCAUGCAUCCAGAACCUCCCAAAUCAUUUCCUGUGUGCCAUGACUAUCCUUCUUACUUUCGUGAGGGCUAUGUUGACCAGCAUCAGAGUGGUGUCCGGGAUCAGAAAAGUGGUUAUGGAAUGAAGACUUUCUGGAUUAUGUUCACAGUGAUGGGUAUUAUCAUCCUACUUUUGAUCGCCUAUAUUCUGUACGUACGGAAGAAAGCCUAGCUUUUUAAGAAGAAGUUGGCAUCAUCUUCAGAACCAACAAAACGCGGAAGGAAAAUCCGGUCUUUUCAAACAUUUGACACUCUUUGCAAUUACUUUCAAAUAAAUAAAGUUGGUACAAAUAAUCUUGGUUGAUGAAUAAAAAUGAAACGCAAAAAAUAGAUAUAGAAGGCACAAGUUUACAAUGCACUAUUUUUUGCUGCCUCUCUGUGACCGUGCAAACAACGAAUAUUAUCACAAUGCAACAAUUUUACACUGUACUGUUUAAAGAAUAGCCGACGAUGUGUUUGUAUUUUUUUAGAAUAUUUAACGAGGGUGAGAAAAUGCUGGUAACAUAAUCAACAAGGACAGAUUUGAAUCUGGGGUAAUAUAUAUAAAAUUGAUAUUCCAAUAUAUGCUGACUUAAUCUAUUUGACAACACAAAAGAGCAAGUAAAAUUAUCUUUCGUGUCUAUUUUAGUGCAUUUAAGAAAACAUUAUCUAGAUAAUCAAUAUAUUUCAAUUAGGCUGUUCUGCUGCAGGGGCAAACUUUUAUCACAUUAGGCAUCGCAAUUUAAUGACAUCAGACACACCUUGUCGUUUCAGAUGAUUGCAAUCUUGGAUCGUGUAUAUAAGGUCACAGGGGUCAAAUGUGUCAAACACUUCAAACAACUCCCUCUUCAGAACUAAAAGAACUGAUGAGGAAGUCCUGGGCAAAAGAGGUUUUGUGUUGUGAAAAAAAUGAAGAGAGAGGCUCCCCUGGGGGAAAAGAGCGCGAAGCUCACUAAAGAAAACAUCGAAAUGAUGACCAAGGUCAAUGCUUGUAAGAUUGCCAUGGCUUGUGAGGUCGUCAGAAAUACCAGAAUGCCAGAUGAAAGAGUUGUCAUGGAUACAAAGAUGACAGAUUAAAUCUUGUAAAGUUUCCAUGAAUACAAAGAUGACAGAUAAAAGCGCGACUCGUCGGUGAUGCUAGAGAAAGAGAAGAGACUCAUAACCUAGACUCAUUUAAAUCCCACCUAUGUCAACCGAAUGCCAAGUAUUCCUGUACUACAAUCUUAUAUCAGUCAUUAUAUGCCUAUGGUCGAACACUAGGGUAGUUUUUGUUUAUCGCGAUCCAAACGGUUGGACCAGAUUCGUUCGUUUAUGAAAUAAGGUCGGGCCUAGUAUUCUGAAACUGUUUCCAGGCGAGCAUUGUCAAAGCCUUGCAACGUCUGCAUACAGUUUUGCAGGUCCGCCAGGAAUUAUACUCGAAAAUGUUACGUUUACCCUUUUGUUUCGCAUAAACGAACAGGCCCGUGUAUAUAAUACGUUAUUCAAGUUACAUUAAAAUUGCUUAUUCAUAUAACGCUGUCCAAAUACAUGUUCUGCAUGUUACAUACUUGAAUGCGGAAGAAAACUAGUGCCACUGAAAUAAAGUUUGAUGACGUAGCUAUGUCGUUAUUAUCAGUGUUAACUUGUAAUAACGCGACAUAGCAGUCUUGGUAUUAUUCAGAUGUUACGUCUUUAGUAAAUUACGACAUGAAAAGUCAUUUGUUUUCUUUCGCAAUACUGGUCAGCUGACGCAAAAGAAACACGACUCCUACAUAUAUUUAGGUUAAAAUGUUAUAUAAAAUAUUUAAUAAAGACUUCAAUUUUAUCUCCAUCGUUUUUCUGUCCUUCGUACACUUUCAAUUAUAUUUCUAUCGCUCAUGCCUUCAGC